UACGAAGGGGCUAGCGUUGCUCGGAAUCACUGGGCGUAAAGCGCACGUAGGCGGCUUUCUAAGUCAGGGGUGAAAUCCUGGAGCUCAACUCCAGAACUGCCUUUGAUACUGGCGACCUUGAGUCCGGGAGAGGUGAGUGGAACUGCGAGUGUAGAGGUGAAAUUCGUAGAUAUUCGCAAGAACACCAGUGGCGAAGGCGGCUCACUGGCCCGGUACUGACGCUGAGGUGCGAAAGCGUGGGGAGCAAACAGG
rnacentral:rRNA from 1 species